UAGGGCAAGAGAAGUCUCCAUGGGGCUGAAAUCUUAGCACUUCAACUCUGGAAGAGCUCUCAUCCGCAUCAGCCUCCCAUUUGACAGAAAACGAGUUGCAGAAGACCCCACGGGUGCUGCAAGAGACCAGCUGGAACGGCUCGAGGACCGCCCGGGUCAGAGAGUACUUGGGCAGUGUGGAGCUGCUGAGAUGAAAGUAUCCCACAGUGCCAUGGGCCUAUGGGUGCCAGCGCUAGCCCAGGAUAAAAAGCUUCCUUGUGCCGGUUUGUCAAACCUGGUCUGUGGUUUCCACUGGAACUGGAGAUGAGUUUGCCUCCUUGAUGGACUCCAAACCCUUCAACACCUGGUGGCCUGACUUCACUUUCAACCUGUGCCAGCAGGCAGCAGGACUUGACUGCUGGGACAUCCCCACCCAUGAUGGGAGCACUGGCGGAAGCAAACUGCACAUAUGGGAGAAAGAGGGCUCUGGGCUGGGGUUAGGGGGUGGGCUGUAGGAUGUGCAUUCCCUGCACAGAUAUCGCCUGCAGGAGACCCCACUUAAGUUUGCCCUCGAGAUGGAAGAAGCCGGGCAGAAGUUCACCGAUGUGGGGGUCCAGACUAGUUUUAUUGACCAGCCUGGGAAUGCCACACUACAGGAGACACCUACUGGAACCCCUCCUCUUCUUGGGACUUGAUCAUGGAAAAAAAUUAUA
rnacentral:lncRNA from 1 species